rnacentral:snoRNA from 1 species
UGCCAUGAUGAGUCACAAGCUUAGGACACCUUUGGACGCGGAGAACCGCACAUGAAAACUCAAUGCCUUAUCGAUUCGUACACUGACCUAU